UAUCUAACCUUUUGGAAGAAGUCGUCGAAGGUGGAAUCAAUAACUGGGGUGAAGUCGUAACAAGGUAGCCGUAUCGGAAGGUGCGGCUGGAUCACCUCCUUUCUAAGGAGA
rnacentral:rRNA from 1 species